AUUUGAGGGUUGAGGUAGAAGUUUAAGUUUGAGUUGAGAAUUGGAUUAGUUUCAAGGACGAAACUCCUUUUUAGGAAUGGAGGAUGUAAGAAAGUGAAUUCUCGAAAUCCGAGAGUUAUACUUUGUCCAGAAUCGACUAAUUGUCGAGUGGUUAUGCUUCGGAAAAGCUGAAGAUGUCUAAAAUCCAAAAAGUGCAUUGGAGUUGGAGUCUACGAGAGUAAAUAGUGCAAAUCUGCACUUCUGCAGAUUGAGCUCU
rnacentral:lncRNA from 1 species